CCCUUCCAGAUUCCUUACCCAUCACAUUUAAACAUUGGUCUGAGUGGCAACAAAAUGAUGCAAAGUAAGACGGAAACACACUUGGAUUCUUUUGCGACGUACAAAUUUAUUUCUAAGAAAA
rnacentral:snoRNA from 1 species